rnacentral:rRNA from 1 species
AUUGAACGCUGGCGGCAGGCCUAACACAUGCAAGUCGAACGAGUGGCGGACGGGUGAGUCAUGUCUGGGACACUGCCCGAUGGAGGGGGAUAACUACUGGAAACGGUACUUAAUACCGCAUACCAUCGGAUGUGCCUAGAUGGGAUUAGCUAGUAGGUGGGGAAACGGUUAACCUGGGCGACGAUCCCUAGCUGGUCUGAGAGGAUGACCGGCCACACGGGAACUGAGACACGGUCCAGACUCCUACGGGAGGCAGCAGUGGGGAAUAUUGCACAAGGGGCGCAAGCCUGAUGCAGCCAUGCCGCGUGUAUGAAGAAGGCCUUCGGGUGGUAAAGUACUUUCAGCGGGGAGGCGUUACCCGCAGAGGAAGCACCGGCUAACUCCGUGCCAGCAGCCGCGGUAAUAC